rnacentral:rRNA from 1 species
UACGUAGGGUGCAAGCGUUGUCCGGAAUUAUUGGGCGUAAAGAGCUCGUAGGCGGUUUGUCGCGUCUGCUGUGAAAUUUCGGGGCUCAACCCCGAACUUGCAGUGGGUACGGGCAGACUAGAGUGUGGUAGGGGGAGACUGGAAUUCCUGGUGUAGCGGUGAAAUGCGCAGAUAUCAGGAGGAACACCGAUGGCGAAGGCAGGUCUCUGGGCCACUACUGACGCUGAGAAGCGAAAGCAUGGGGGAGCGAACAGGG